GACGAACGCUGGCGGCGUGCUUAACACAUGCAAGUCGAACGGAAAGGCUCUGCUUUUGUGGGGUGCUCGAGUGGCGAACGGGUGAGAAACACGUGAGUAACCUGCCCUUGACUUUGGGAUAACUUGAGGAAACUGGGGCUAAUACCGGAUAGGAGCUCAUGAUGCAUGGUGGGGGUUGGAAAGUUUCGGCGGUGGGGGAUGGACUCGCGGCUUAUCAGCUUGUUGGUGGGGUAGUGGCUUACCAAGGCGUUGACGGGUAGCCGGCCUGAGAGGGUGACCGGCCACAUUGGCCCUGAGGAAGGGGCCAGACUCCUACGGGAGGCAGAAGUGGGGAAUAUUGCACAAUGGGCGGAAGCCGUAUGCUGCAACGCCGCGUGCGGGAGGACGGCCGUCGGGGUGUAAACCGCUUUCGCCUGGGACGAAGCGUGAGUGACGGUAAUGGGUAAAGAAGCACCGGCUAACUACGUG
rnacentral:rRNA from 1 species